rnacentral:lncRNA from 1 species
CUCAUCUGAAAUCAAAACUAGGCCUUCUCUGACACCUACUCCAAAAGGGAAUAUUUCUCUUGCUGAUUCUCCAGGAAUCUGCUCAAGGCUAUAAGGCGCAAAAGUUGUAGAGCCAAAUUGCUGGAUUUCUGCAAUUUGUCAAUCAACACAGUACUGACUAAUACAAGUUAUGAUCAUGGUCUGCUUUACAUCAUAACUAAUGGUGCUCAGGGAAGAAGGAAAAGGAGCACACCUGGCAGAUGAGGAAAUUGAAGCACAAAGAAGUGAGAUAACUAACAAGGAUACAGGGCAGGUAGGUGGCGGAACAAGGAUUCAAACCAUAUCUUUUUGCUCUCAUGCUCAAACUCAUCAUGCUUUACUAUUUCCAAAAUGAGAACCAAACUGGAAAAACCUCAAAGAGAAAUAAAA